AUUAUUGUGACAGCACAGUGCAUCCCUCAUUUUAAUGUCUUUCUUCUACUUGCUGAUAUUUCAAAAGGUGAAGUGUAAACUUUGUUCCAAAGAACUUGGGUACCAAGAGAACACGUCAUCUAUGUUGAGGCAUUAUAGGGCCCUGCAUGAAAAUAAGGAGACAACUCAAACAGAACCACCCCCAGUGAAUAAGAAUGCAGUGGAAGAGGCAUUAAUCAAUAUGGUGAUUGAAGAUUGCCAGCCCUUCAGUUUUGUGGAGGACACAGGGUUCAGGAAGCUUAUCCAAGCUUUCGACCCUACAUAUGUUCUCCCCACCAGGCGGACUUUGAAAGCCAUGGU